GAUAGCUCAGUUGGGAGAGCGUCAGACUGAAGAUCUGAAGGUGCCCUGACGAUCAUUUCAGACA